CGGUGAGGGAAUACUCACAAUCUGAAUCCGGUGAGGAAUACUCACAAUCUGAAUCCGGUGAGAGAAUACUCACAAUAUGACUAUUUGAAACUCUGAAGCCUGAAAUCUGAAGCCUGAAGUCCGAAGCUGAAGUCGAAUCUGGUUCCCUACUUCGGUUAAUGCAAUUAGUUAAUUUAGUUUAUUUUCAGGGUUGAUUUUGUGACAAGCUCCAAGCUUAGUAAACUUUACCUUGAGGG
rnacentral:lncRNA from 1 species